rnacentral:rRNA from 1 species
AAUUUAUUUAUUAUUAUUAUUUAUUAAUUUUAUUUGUGUAUUAAAAAAAGUAAUUUUUAUUUUAUUAAUAAAUAUGAAUAAAUAAAUUUAAUUAUAGUUAAUUUGUAUUGUGAAAGAUUUAUUUUAUUUAAUUCAAAGAAAAAUUUAGUUUUUGUACCUUGUGUAUCAGGGUUUAUUAAAAAAUUUUUAUUAAUUUUAGAUUUCUCGAACUUAAAAGAUUUAUAUUAAUAUAAUUUUUAUUGUUGAAUAAAUAUUAUUCAUAUUAAUAUAGAAGUGAAACAUUAUUCGAUUUUAAAUAUAUCUAGUUUUUAAAGAAAAAAAUUUAAUUUUAUUUUUAUAUAAUAUAAGUUUAAAUUAAUAAAUUUAUAUUAAUAAAAUUUUAUAUUUCAUGGGAUGAGCUUUGAAGUAAACAAAUAAAAAUUAUAUUGUAUUGUUUAAUAAGUAGAAUUAUAAGUUUUUAUCUUUAAUAGUGUUUUAUAACUAUUUAAAUUAAAAAUAGUAUUUAUAUAUUUGUAUAAAUUUUAUGUAUUUUAUUUAAAUAUAAAUUUUAAUAAAAAAAAUUUAGUAAUAAUGAUAAAAUUAGUAUAAUAAUUUGUUUUUAUAAAUUUAAUAUUUUAGGUUUUAUAAAGGAAUUCGGCAAAUAUAUUUUUCACCUGUUUAUCAAAAACAUGGCUUUUUGAAUUUAAUUUAAGGUCUAGCCUGCUCAAUGAAUUUUAAAUAGCCGCAGUACCCUGACUGUGCAAAGGUAGCAUAAUCAUUAGUUUUUUAAUUGAAAGCUGGAAUGAAAGGUUGAAUGAGAAAAUAGCUGUCUCUGUAAAAAUUUUAUAGAAUUUUAUUUUUAAGUUAAAAAGCUUAAAUUUUAAUAAAAGACGAGAAGACCCUAUAGAGUUUUAUAUUUAUAAAUAAUGUAUUUUUACUUUAGCAUUCUAAAUUAUAUUAUUUUAUAAUAUUUGGUUGGGGUGAUUAGAAAAUUAAAUAAACUUUUCUUUAAAUUUAAACAUUUAUUUAUGGUAUUAUGAUCCUUUUAUAAAGAUUAUAAGAUAAAAUUACCUUAGGGAUAACAGCGUAAUUUUUUUUGAGAGUUCUUAUCGAAAGAAAAGAUUGCGACCUCGAUGUUGGAUUAAAUUAAAUUUUUGGUGUAGAAGCUAAAUUGAUUAGGUCUGUUCGACCUUUAAAAUUUUACAUGAUCUGAGUUCAAACCGGUGUAAGCCAGGUUGGUUUCUAUCUUUAUUUAAAUAAAAUAUUUUAGUACGAAAGGAUCAAGUAUUUAGUUUAUAAUUUUAAUAUAGAAUAUUUUU